UGCCGCCGCCGCUGCGCUCCGCCACGCACGAGGACUACUCCGUGCACGACACGCCUCCCGGACAGAAGGGAUCUCGCGUGUUCGAAUCUCCAAAGACCAACAUCUGGUGUUCUCCACCGGCGAGCGCUUUGCCCAAUCCAACGGCAUUGCUCACACAAGAAACUAAACGUCGCACUCGGCUGGCGGCGCAGUUCGAUGCAGCAUAAUGUCAUUCCAAACAUAUUAAAAUGCAUUCCUACGAGAUGUACAAGCGAAAUAACGUGUGUCGGAUGUUUGGAUGAGCUCAUAUAAUGUAUCCAAGGUUUGCAACGAAUUUUAUCAACAAGACAAAUACCAAGUGUCCUAAGAAUUGUGAUGUCUAUAACAAUAAUGUUUUAGAUCGUGUAUAUUUUUGUGUGUUUAUUUAGGUUAAGAGAAAUAUUUGCGUUCGUAAAAUGUUAUCAAGUGCUGCAUACAAAAUAGAAUUCGAGUUAUACAGGCUUUAUGAAUGGCAAUAAGUCGGGAAAAGUAUUUAUUACUAAGAUAUUUCUCUCUGUACGAUUAAUUGUCGUUGUGUCCACAAAUGGAUUGUUAAAAUAUUAUUUCUGCAGAAUAUUCUGUUCAGUUUAGCGUGAGUUUUUAUGUAAAUGUCUUCCUUUAUACUUAAGUCUUCUUUUAGAUAUACAGGACAUCUAAGAUAAAGAUUAACAAAUAUUGGAAUUUACAACUUUAUAAGUAAAGUUUAAAAUAGUUAAAAUUAGUAGAUAAAUUGUUGGAAAAGUACAAAUUUUUGAAUGUAGUUAUUUGAAUAAUAAAAUGUUAUAAUAUUUUAUCUAGUUGAAUUUAAAAACAAAACUCAAAUAUGGCUACUGAUCUAGAGAAAUUGCAGAUAUCUCAGGCUAAAAUGAACAGUCUAUGAAUACCAUCAGUUUUGUAUAAUAUAUUUAUAUAAUUUUUUUGGUUACUAUAAUUUGUAUAAUAUUUAUGACACUAUAUGUGAUGAAUUUUAGUUACUUAAUCACUUUGUUUUUGUUUUUUAACUUUUGACAAUUAUUUAUAUUUCUAAGGCUUUAAUUAUUGUAUACAACAGUGACUGAAAUACAUAUACCGUAAGAUAUCCACAUAAUAGUUUAGAAAGUUCUCCAGUAUAGCAUAUAAUUAUGUUUGUAAGCUGUUUGACUGGUUAUAUAACAUCAUAAUGAGUACAGUGAAUUGUAUGUAUAUGUUUAUAAUAUAUAUGUAUGUUAGCAUUUACACAUUACAUAUCAUAUGUAAGAGGUAGGCCGGGAAGUUGUCCGGAUUGUUGGGAUGUGUUAUGUGAUAUCAGAGCGCUUAUAACAUUUUUCGAAUGUCCAUAUAAAGUACAAUAAUCAUAUGAAAAUGUUGAUUUUUGUGAAAAGAAUUUUAUCCUUUGAUAUAUGAUCUCAAUUGAUUCUAUAUUAUGUUUGUUUCAAUUCGGCCUUAAUAUGUGUUUAGUUGUGAAUAACUCUAGUGCGGUUGUAUGUGCAUUUAAUGAAAUUCUUUUAAUGUUUGCAUAAGUAUCAGUCGAAUUUACGUACUUUUAGAUAACGUUUACAUUCUUUAAAUGUUUAUAGCAAUUUAUUUGUAAGGGAAACUUGAAUGUAAAUGUAUUUCUAAAGUGUCGUCCACAAGUUACAUGCAAAAAAUAUCAAGCCAAUGUUAUAGAAGUUAAGGGAGCAAAUUGCAAUGUACAAAGUUUAUACAUAUCUAAGUCUAGUUUGAUAUUAAUUGCAGGACUUAGUUUGUCAUUGAAUUUGCGUAAUUUGUGUAGCAAUUUAUGGACAAAAUGUAACAUUUUGUAUAAUGCAAUUUGCGUUCACUUUAAUACAACUCAAGAGUCAAUUAUAGAUGUUCAAAGAUUUUUUUAAUAUAUAUAAUAAUAGUAUUAAGUUAUUUUUUGUUAUAAGUUCAAGAGUUUGCCGCCUAAAGUGCAAUGGUUGUAAUGUUCGACAUCGAAAAAUAUCGUCGUCCAUGUUGAUUUAAGUUAUGAAGAAUAUUGUGUGUGUAUUGGUUUAUUUAGGUUAUUGUCAGUCGGUAUGUCUCACAUUUGUUUUAGAAAGACUUCCGACUGUGUUUCAUCAGCUAAUCAAGAUAAUUAAGUACAAGCAGUCGUUUUUAUUAUGAGGUAGUAGAAAGUUGUAUGUCAUAGUUGUGUGCUUGUUUAGAAUGGUAGCUGCUCUUUCGUUAGUUGUUAAUGCCAUAGACAUAUAUUAAUGAAUAGUAUUUUUAGUGUAUCUAUUGGUGUAAGAGAUGUGCGUAAUCUUUGAAGUAUGGUAAUGAUUUAAAAUUGUUCAUCAUCAUAAUAAUCAUACAUGUUCUCUUUAGGAUAGUGUUUAGUAGCCAGUUAUCCUAGUGAGUCUGUCCUUUUUUAGGAUCUGUCAUGAUUUACUUUGCAAUAAUAAUAAUAUUGGCUAUAAUAAAUGCGCAAAUAAUUACUAUUAAAUAAUAUCUUAUUUUUUAUAUAAUUGUAUUUUUUGUAAAUAAAUAUACAAUACAUUGAAAUUAUGAAACAUCAAAAUAUUACACCUGUGAUAUAAUAAGUACCAAGAACGCCACAAAUUUUUCCAUUAAAUUGCCAAUUUAUGUAAAUAUACAUAAAAUGUUCUAUAAUUUGGUACAUUAAGUAAAGUACAUUAAAAAAAACUAAAAUCCAUUUACGAAUUAUUUGAAUGUGUAUAAUAAUCAAAUGCUAAGAAAUGUGUUUUUGCUGAUGUCAACAUGGAUUUACGAUAUUUUUAUGUAAGAUCAAGUUUGUUGAUUAAUGUAAGCCGGCUCUUGCAUAUCGAGUUUGAGUGUUUUGAUUGUAUACCACAUGACAUUGAUGUGAGAUCUAAACACUGCCAACUCUGCAUUAUCUGUUGAUUUUUUACCAUUGUAUCUAAACAACUGUUCUAUACAUGUCUUGAAGGGUCAGUUCCUUAGAAAUAAAGGAUAGAAUGUUUUGGUACAAUGUGGAAAUAAAUCAUUUUAAAUAUUUAGUAAGAUAAAUGCAACUACACUUUGUGUCCACCUUCUGUCCAGUCUAUUGUGAAAAUCACUUUGUCUUAAGAAAUACAAUUAUAUCUCUUGUCCUAUUUAUUACUUAUUUUAUCUUUGAUACGUAAUAAACAAUGACAAAAAAUUAAGUCGCUUUAGUGUUGCCAUCUAAAAAUGUUUUAAUGUGGCAUUAAUCCUUAAUAAUUCCAAAUAUAUCUGAUUGAAUUUCUUAAGACUUGUAGGAGGUAUAUUUUUAAGUAUUUUAAGUAUUGUUUUUACUUUUGUGACCAAUAAAAGUUUUAAAUUUCUAAUAAUAAGAUAGUUUUAAGUAAUUCCAAAAGCAGUAAAUGAGAGACUUGUGCGUGUUUUAUCCAUCUUAGUAUUUCUGUGAUUGUUAAUUUCUUGUUGUAGUUCCAACUCGUAAAUCAAUGUACAUCCAAAAGUAGAAUUUUGUCAAAAUGCAUGAAAAUGAAUGUAGUGUUGGAAAUAAAUGUUAUUUUUUGAA